AGUCGGUGCAGAAGCAGCAAGAUGCUGUGGCAGACUCAGCUCCUCUGGCUCCUCGUGCUCUGGGUGCACGGCUCCAGCGGGGAGAUUGUUGUGACUCAGACUCCAGAGUCCCUGGCAGUGUCCCCAGGAGACACAGUCACCAUCAAGUGCAAAACCAGCUCCAGUGUUAGCAGCAGCAUGGCCUUGUACCAGCAGAAACCAGGGCAGGCUCCUAAGCUUCUUCUCUACUACACAAAUACCCGCCCCUCCGGGAUCCCCGACCGGUUCAGUGGCAGUGGGUCUGGCACCGACUUCACUUUCACCAUCAGCCGGGUGGAAGCUGGAGAUGCUGCAGAUUAUUACUGUCAGCAAGGUAGCAGCGGGUCUCACAGCUCCAAUGGGGACGUUGUGCUGACUCAGACUCCAGAGUCCCUGACGGUGUCUCCUCAAGACACCGUCACCAUCACCUGCAAUGCCGGUUCAUACACUAGUAGUAGCAUAGCCUGGUACCAACAGAAAUCAGGGAAAUCUCCUAAGCUUCUCAUCUACAGCACGAGCUCCUGUGCCUCGGGGAUCUCAGACCGCUUCAGUGGUGCUAGGUCGGGCAGUGACUACACUCUCACCAUCAGCCGGGUUGAAGCAGGUGAUGCUGGAGAUUAUUACUGUCAGUACCAUGAUUAG